rnacentral:rRNA from 1 species
GGGAGGCAGCAGCAGGGAAUAUUGCACAAUGGACGGAAGUCUGAUGCAGCGACGCCGCGUGAGUGAAGAAGGCCUUCAGGUUGUAAAACUCUUUUGAGGGGGAAGAGCGAGGACGGUACCCCUGGAAUAAGCGUCGGCUAACUACGUGCCAGCAGCCGCGGUAAGACGUAGGACGCGAGCGUUAUCCGGAUUUACUGGGCGUAAAGCGUCUGUAGGCGGAUGUGUAAGUUGGGCGUGAAAGCUCCGGGCUUAAACCGGAGAGGCCGUUCAAUACUGCAUAACUUGAGGGCGUCAGAGGGGAGCGGAAUUCCCGGUGUAGCGGUAAAAUGCGCAGAGAUCGGGAGGAACACCAUAGGCGGAAGCAGUUCCCUGGGGCACACCUGACGCUAGGAGACGAAAGCUCGGGGAGCGAACAGGAUUAGAGACCCUGGUAGUCCUAGCCCUAAACGAUGAAUGCUAGGUGUGCGAUCGAAUGGUUCCGUGCCGGAGCGAACGCGAUAAGCAUUCCGCCUGGGGAGUACGUCCGCAAGGUUAAUACUCUAAACGAAUUGACGGGGCCCCGCACAAGCUAGCGGAGCGUGUGGUUUAAUUCGAUGCUACACGAAGAACCUUACCUGGGUUUGACAUGUAGGUGGUAGUGAAUCGAAAGGUGUACGACCCUUCGGGGAGCCUACACAGGUGCUGCAUGGCUGUCGUCAGCUCGUGCCGUGAGGUGUCGGGUUAAGUCCCGUAACGAGCGCUACCCUUGCUCCUAGUUACAUAGUGUCUAGGGGGACUGCCGGCGGAAAGCCGGAGGAAGGUGGGGAUGUACGUCAAGUCAGCAUGGCCCUUAUAUCCUAGGGCUACUACACACGCUACAAUGGUCGGUACAAAGGGCAGCGAAACCGCGAGGCGGAGCGAAUCCGAGAAAAGCCGAUCGUAGUUCGGAUAGCAGGCUGCAACCCGCCUGCUUGAAGCUGGAGUUGCUAGUAACCGCGCGUCAGCCAUAGCGCGGUGUUACGUUCCCGGGGCUUGUACACACCGCCCGUCACGUCAUGGGAGUCG